rnacentral:rRNA from 1 species
GAUGAACGCUGGCGGCGUGCUUAACACAUGCAAGUCGAACGGUGAACGAGGGAGCUUGCUCCCUCCGGAUCAGUGGCGAACGGGUGAGUAACACGUGAGCAAUCUGCCCUGGACUCUGGGAUAAGCGUUGGAAACGACGUCUAAUACCGGAUACGAGGCGUGGGGGCAUCCCCAACGCCUGGAAAGAACUUCGGUCCAGGAUGAGCUCGCGGCCUAUCAGCUAGUUGGUGAGGUAACGGCUCACCAAGGCGACGACGGGUAGCCGGCCUGAGAGGGUGACCGGCAACACUGGGACUGAGACACGGCCCAGACUCCUACGGGAGGCAGCAGUGGGGAAUAUUGCACAAUGGGCGCAAGCCUGAUGCAGCAACGCCGCGGGAGGGACGACGGCCUUCGGGUUGUAAACCUCUUUUAGCAGGGAAGAAGCGAAAGUGACGGUACCUGCAGAAAAAGCACCGGCUAACUACGUGCCAGCAGCCGCCGUAACAC